CUCUCUACGCUCUUCUCUUCUAUUCUACUUUUCUCUCUACUUUCAACACGUUAUCAGCACGAGUCUCUAACCAAUUGAGUUAAUAUUGGAGGUAUGCCAUAGGAAAGAAUCGUGUCUUUCCGACAAGGGUUUUUACGGAGAGGUUUUUAACAAGGCAUGAACAUCUAGACUCUAACAUCAAAUGAGGAGUUUCUUUGGAGUCAAAUUGCAUGCAACUCAAAGGAUACAUGAAGAUUCGAUCAAGCGAUAACAUGACGGACUUAUUCACAAAGGCGUUACCAACAUCGACUUUUAGAAAGUUAGUACACAAGAUUGGCAUGCAUCGACUCAAAGAUAUACAAUGAUCAUUUUCAGGGGGAGCUGCUGUACUCUUUUUCCUUAGACUAGGUUUUUGUUCCAUUAAAUUUUUCCUAGCAAGGUUUUAAUGAGGCAGCAUAUUUUUAGGGUUAGUCAUUUAAGGGGGAGUGUUGUAAAUAUAUAUAAAAUAUAUAUUUCCCUAUUAAAUGACUUAACCCUAAACCCUAACCCUAGCUUUGUAUCUCCUAUAAAUAGAGGCAUUUAGUCCUCAUAAUAAUACGCUCCUACAGAUUUAUUCUC